AGGGAGAGAAGACACCACCCAAACGGAUGUCUCAAGAGUCACAUGGACAAAGGCGCCACAUGAUGUGAUGGAGAAAAUCUCAAGCGGACUCAGAUCUUACAGGAAGAAGAGCAUGGACAUCAGCUGGUGGCAGGCGAAGACUGUGAUGCUGGCAGCAGGAAAGCCUUGCUGGGCCCAGGGAACAGGUCUGGUCUCAGGAGGUCCCUCCACCGCUAUAAGUCACACACGGUUCUCCCAUUCAUCAGAGCUCGAAGGGCCCUGCAGGGAGCACGUGGCUGCAAGCAGAGACCCCUCCCUGCUU